UCUGAGCCACAGUGUGUUUCCUGAGAGUAACGUACGUUAUGACGCAUGCGGGUAGUGGAGGAGAAACAAAAUUUUGAAACGCGCAGAGCAAGAAGGUCGUCUGCAGUCCACAACAAACGUAGAAAAUUGUAGGUGUGGGAUCCGUUUCUCAUAGGUAUCUAGUCAAAACAGAACUUGUAGCAGAAAUAUUCUGAACAAACCCGGUAGCAGGUGCAAUUAUAAAUUCAGCAUACUUUGUUCUCCUAGCAUUUGUCAGAAUCUCUGUGUUUGUAAGUCACAAACUUAUGGAAUACCAAAAAUUAAAAAGAAAAAACAAACAAACAAAUAUACCUGUAAGUAAAGUCAUACUUUACACAUCUUAAGAAUUCUGAAGUCUGCCUUAGAAUCUCUGACGUAUCUAUUGUCCUCACAGUCUGGUGGUUCCUAGUGGAAUAGCGUGUAAUUUCACCACUGACAAAAUAAAACUGGCUAAAGAAACAAGUGUUAGUGUAACAAAAAGUCUACCCACAUGAAUAAUAAGCAUUGUGAGUUGUGUAGGAAGGAUAAAAUGAUAUGCUGAGAUUAUUGUCAUCCGAAGAGGGAAUCAAAACAUAUAGUAGCCAAAUUAUGUAGAAAAAGUAUUAAGCAGCACCAUAGGACCCUGAGAUCCUUACCUCAAGGACAAGUGGCUAUUAUCAGUGCAGGAUGCAGAAAAAGCAUGCAUGUGAAAUUAGAAAGCAGUACGAGGGCUUUGAAAAACAAAUCCUCAGUUAUCCACAUAUGAAUUCAUUCAUACAGCCUAUAGGCUAUAUGCUGAAAACCUCUUAUGUUCCAGGGCAGAUGUGAGAAAACCAAAAAUAGUAUUCAGCUUCGAGCCUUGGUACAAGGAACCAAUGACUACAGAGGUCCUGGAUUUUGAACAAAUGAUGUAGUGCGACUAAUGAAAGUAACACCAAGGUGUUUGUCCUUUCUGUGUCUCUCUUUUCAUUAACCUGCCCUCUUUAUUCC